rnacentral:rRNA from 1 species
UACAGAGGUCCCAAGCGUUGUUCGGAUUCAUUGGGCGUAAAGGGUGCGUAGGCGGCGCGGUAAGUCGGGUGUGAAAUCUCGGAGCUUAACUCCGAAACUGCAUUCGAUACUGCCGUGCUUGAGGACUGGAGAGGAGACUGGAAUUUACGGUGUAGCGGUGAAAUGCGUAGAUAUCGUAAGGAAGACCAGUGCGAAGGCGGGUCUCUGGACAGUUCCUGACGCUGAGGCACGAAGGUCAGGGGGAGCAAAACGGG